GGAGCCGUAGCGAAAGCGAGUCUUAAUAGGGCGAUUGUCACUGCUUAUGGACCCGAACCUGGGUGAUCUAUCCAUGACCAGGAUGAAGCUUGGAUGAAACUAAGCAGAGGUCCGAACCGACUGAUGUUGAAGAAUCAGCGGAUUAGUUGUGGUUAGGGGUGAAAUGCCACUCGAACCCAGAGCUACUGGUUCUCCCCGAAA
rnacentral:ncRNA from 1 species